rnacentral:miRNA from 1 species
AGUCAUACACAGAGUGAGCAGCG